UAUAAGUGUAGCUAUGAAUUUUUAUGCCCAACUUUGAUCGUCCGUCUUAUUUGAUGUUUUUUUUAAGAUUAGUAUUUUUAUCGUUAUUAGAUGAUAAAAUAUGAAUAGUAAUUUAUAUUUUCAAAUUUUUUUAAAAAAAAAUUAAAUAAGAUUGACGAUCAAAGUUAGGCAUAUAAAAUCAUGUCUGCGCUUAAA
rfam:Oryza meridionalis cultivar OR44 (W2112) chromosome 1, whole genome shotgun sequence.